GGACCCGCACAAGCGGUGGAGCAUGUGGUUUAAUUCGAUGCAACGCGAAAAAACCUUACCUACUCUUGACAUACUUGGAAGCUCUUGUAAUGAGAGUGUGCCUUUUGGAACCAAGAUACAGGUGCUGCAUGGCUGUCGUCAGCUCGUGUCGUGAGAUGUUCCGUUAAGUCGGAUAACGAGCGCAACCCUUACCCUUAUUUGCCAGCGAUUCGGUCGGGAACUAUAAGGGGACUGCCGGUGAUAAACCGGAGGAAGGUGAGGACGACGUCAAGUCAUCAUGGCCCUUACGAGUAGGGCUACACACGUGCUACAAUGCUACGGCAAAAGGGGCAGCAAGUUCGCGAGGAC
rnacentral:rRNA from 1 species